rnacentral:lncRNA from 1 species
AUGAUGCCAACUAAAGGUUGGUCACCUUAAGUUUGUAAGGUGGGGUUCAGGUCACUUGGCUUUAUCUGCACAAAAUAACUUUUGGUAAAAUCUCACCUAAAUUAGUCAUCCAAGUUGCCUGCACUGUCGAUUUGAGAAAGACAGGACUGGUCAGAGGGCGACUCACUCUGCACUAAAGCGAACAGCUGGUCCUGGAAUUUUACAAAGCAUCUGAACUGUGCCAGCUGCCUCUGAAAAGAGUCACUCUGCUCUAGCUUACCUCCCAUCACUUCAGUGACUACACGAGAGCACACUUCGGGAGAAACCCUUAAGAAAAAUGAGUCGUUUUCUAGCACUAGAAUUUUCUAGUUUUCUAGCACAGAGUCCUGAGGGUUAGAUGAGUGCUAGUCCUGGCACAAGAGAGCUGUCCCUUCUGGUAAUCGUAACCACUGGAAGAUGAAGGAGAUGUGGGAACAGGGUGAUGAAGAGACCAGUAUGGAAAAUGGCUGUGCAAGAAACCCCGAUGUGCAGGCUCCACCGCCCUUCGUGUGGUGCUGAAGAAAGCCUCUGCAACACCUCCAGCCCCAAGGUGCAGAUGCAAACUGGGCAGCUGUGGACGUAAACCCUUAAUAUAAAAAUAUGGAUUAAAGAAUCAGUCUUGAAUGUCUUGCCCAAGUUCAACCAAUGACGGGAACAAUUACAAACGUUGCUUCAAACUGCCUGGUCUAGAUAAAUUUCUGUUCCAAGCCUGAGCUGAGGUAAUGAAAAAUAUUCCCAGGAUGGUCUCAAUUUCAUAACUACACAUUAGGCAUAAACAAGAAAAAAAACAAAACACCGCACACACACAAAACAAAACAUGAAAUGAAGCCAAACAAUUCACAGCAGUAGAAUAAAGCAAUGAAGAAUGACAAAACCAAUGAAGAAAUCCACAAUGUGUUUGCCUGCGCC